ACAGUUGGAAACGACUGCUAAUACCGCAUACGAUCUAAUUCUCGGCAUCGAGGAUAGAUGAAAAGGUGGCCUCUACUUGUAAGCUAUCACUGAAGGAGGGGAUUGCGUCUGAUUAGCUAGUUGGAGGGGUAACGGCCCACCAAGGCGAUGAUCAGUAGCCGGUCUGAGAGGAUGAACGGCCACAUUGGGACUGAGACACGGCCCAGACUCCUACGGGAGGCAGCAGUGGGGAAUCUUCCGCAAUGGACGAAAGUCUGACGGAGCAACGCCGCGUGAGUGAUGACGGCCUUCGGGUUGUAAAGCUCUGUUAAUCGGGACGAAAGGCCUUCUUGCGAAUAGUUAGAAGGAUUGACGGUACCGGAAUAAAAAACCCC
rnacentral:rRNA from 1 species